AGUGAAGCGGCAAUAGCUCAAAUUUGAAAGCUGGCCCCUUUGGGGUCCGCGUUGUAAUUUGUAGAGGAUGAUUCGGCGAGGGCUCCCGUCUAAGUCCCCUGGAACGGGGCGUCAUAGAGGGUGAGAAUCCCGUAUGUGAUGGGUUGCCUUAGCCAUGUGAAUCUCCUUCGACGAGUCGAGUUGUUUGGGAAUGCAGCUCUAAAUGGGAGGUAAAUUUCUUCUAAAGCUAAAUACCGGCCAGAGACCGAUAGCGCACAAGUAGAGUGAUCGAAAGAUGAAAAGCACUUUGGAAAGAGAGUUAAAAAGUACGUGAAAUUGUUGAAAGGGAAGCGCUUGCAGCCAGACUUGUCCGCAGUUGCUCAGCCGGUCUCCUGACCGGCGUACUCUUCUGCGGCCAGGCCAGCAUCAGUUCGGGCGGUCGGAUAAAGACCCCAGGAAUGUAGCUCCUCUCGGGGAGUGUUAUAGCCUGGGGUGGAAUGCGGCCAGCCUGGACUGAGGAUCUCGCUUCGGCUAGGAU
rnacentral:rRNA from 1 species